UACGUAGGGUGCGAGCGUUAAUCGGAAUUACUGGGCGUAAAGCGUGCGCAGGCGGUUCGUUGUGUCCGAUGUGAAAGCCCCGAGCUCAACUUGGGAAUGGCAUUGGAAACUGGCGGGCUGGAGUGUGGCAGAGGGGGGUGGAAUUCCACGUGUAGCAGUGAAAUGCGUAGAGAUGUGGAGGAACACCGAUGGCGAAGGCAGCCCCCUGGGCCAGCACUGACACUGAGGCACGAAAGCGUGGGGAGCAAACAGG
rnacentral:rRNA from 1 species